rnacentral:lncRNA from 1 species
UCUUAAUAGUCUCAGCAUACAAUUUUUUUCUUGCCUUAUUAAAUUGAGAAAUUUUGUCUUUUUAUUAAAAGGAAGCACUUUAUGGCUUCUCUGUGCUAUCUGAAUAGCCAGCAUCACUAAUCUUGUGCUUUGGAUAGCAUAAGAUUUCAUCAUGCUAGUUAUAAGGGUGUACAAUUAAAAACUUAUGAAUUGUCUAUUCCUGUAAACAAUGCAAGUUAUUUUUUCAAUCUACCUCUUAAAUUUGCUUAUUCACUAGUUCCUUUCCUUUAACAAAGUAAGGCAAAAGUUGUAUUCAUUGCUCCUAGUUAUAUUUAAUUGGCAAGCACUUACUGACAAAACCACUCCUCACUGCAGAGGAGGAUAAGAAAUGUAGUUGCCAGCUGAGUGAACACGUGACCAGCAAGAAGGGGAGAACAGUUUUCUGGGGACAACUAUUAAUCUGCCACAAGCCUAAUGUUGAUGAAAGAUGAACAGGAUAUUAAAUAAGUCAUGGAAAUGCUGAAAAGAAACCAGGUUAAGAGGCAUAGCUAGAGCUGUCUCUCUACUGUUGUAACGUGUUAUUGGUUAUUUGCACAAAAAUUCCAAGAGAAAAUAAUAAUAACCUUUAAGUAGCAUAUCCGUAAUUUUCAUUUUGCUGUCUCCUCCUUCUUACUGUAAAACGUGUGUUGUUAAAUACAUUCCCUUAAGCAACAUCACUAUAUUCCUGA